GUGCCAGCAGCCGCGGUAAUACGUAGGGUGCGAGCGUUGUCCGGAAUUAUUGGGCGUAAAGAGCUCGUAGGCGGUCUGUCACGUCAACUGUGAAAACUCGGGGCUCAACCCCGAGCCUGCAGUCGAUACGGGCAGACUAGAGUUCGGCAGGGGAGACUGGAAUUCCUGGUGUAGCGGUGAAAUGCGCAGAUAUCAGGAGGAACACCGGUGGCGAAGGCGGGUCUCUGGGCCGAAACUGACGCUGAGGAGCGAAAGCGUGGGGAGCGAACAGGAUUAGAUACCCCUGUAGUCC
rnacentral:rRNA from 1 species